UUCUUAGCAAUGAAUCAUCGGGCCGCCUCUCUCCUUUGUUCUUGUUCAGCAGCGCAGCCAGCUCUGGCCGCCUCUCUCCUUUGUUCUUGACCAGCCAGCGUAGGACAGAAGACAGUCCUCAAUUUUUGGUUAUGUACUUCUUCAAGCCUGAGUAACUAGUUUUGCUCGGGGAUGGAAUAUUACUGUUGUCGCUUGUUAAGCUUUGCAUUGCGUCUCUGAUAUGUUCUUGUUGUGUAUCUUAUAUCUAUUGUUGGGGAUUCUGGGCUGGAUGCUGUGAAGUUGCUAUUUUUAUCAGAGUGGAAUAUAUUCCAGUCAUUAUCUUGACCUGCAUAGAUUACAUUUGGAUUGGUUGGCAUGCACUCUACAUAGGCUUCUGUCUACCUUUCAUUUUUUUUAGCAUCCCUUGCUGAUUGCUGUUGCAAGCUGACUUGCUGGAAGAAGUGAAUAUGUCGACAGGACAUGACAAUGGCUUUCUUUCGUGUUAUCUGCUCUUCUCAGCUUUUGAUUUGCAGCCCUAGUCAAGUUAUAUAAGUUCUUUUGGUGUCUUCGUCUCCAAUGCUUUUUGAAUUUAUAAUUACUGCUGCUUAUGAAAUGAACAGGGAAGGCGAGGGAUAGUUCAUCAGCUGCGCCGCUGCGCUAUGCAGCGCAGGGAGAGCGAGGGAUAGUUCAUAGCUGCUGCUGCGCUGAUGCAACGCAGG
rnacentral:lncRNA from 1 species